rnacentral:lncRNA from 1 species
UACUAUACUAUUAAUAGCACAGUGCCUCCGUGCUACCAAGUUACUCUCAAUGAUACAGCUUCCAAAUCAAUGAUCGGCUCUGUUAGACAUGGUCUACGCUAUUGAAAAAUAUUUAGAAACCAAUUUUUUUUUUUUUGAUAUUAUUUGACUAGUGAUUAAAAGGUUUUAAAUUAAUAUUUUUAAUGAUCGAUAUAAUACAUUUGUGAAUUUAACGGUGUAAAACAAUCCAAAUCCGAUAAAAUUUUUAGAGAAAAUUUUCUUCGCUAUUUAGAAUAAAAUCAGUACCUCUGAUCUUAAAUUCAAGUCCUUCAUCACCAUUUUUAUGGGAUUUUUAUUUUCAGCCAUUAAUUUUUAGACUACACGUUUGGUAGGUAAUUGAUGUUCAAAAAUUAUAAAAUUUGAUGUUCAAAUACAAUUAAUAGUGUUGAUCAAGUUUAACAAAGACGAUCAUCAAUUCGGAAGCCGCAUCAUCGCAAACAACUUAAUAACACAGAGACUUUCGUGUUAUCGAUAGUAUACUAGCCGAUCUCUCUUUAUAUAUAAAUAUAUUCUUCAACAACUAUUUGUCUUAACAAACUUAAGCUUUUCAAAAACAAUAUUUUUAUUUUAUUUUUUAAUUCAACAUUGCAUUAACAUUUCCUUACA